CGGCGGACGGGUGAGUAACACGUGGAUAACCUACCUAUAAGACUGGGAUAACUUCGGGAAACCGGAGCUAAUACCGGAUAAUAUAUUGAACCGCAUGGUUCAAUAGUGAAAGACGGUUUUGCUGUCACUUAUAGAUGGAUCCGCGCCGCAUUAGCUAGUUGGUAAGGUAACGGCUUACCAAGGCAACGAUGCGUAGCCGACCUGAGAGGGUGGUCGGCCACACUGGAACUGAGACACGGUCCAGACUCCUACGGGAGGCAGCAGCG
rnacentral:rRNA from 1 species